UACGAAGGGGGCUAGCGUUGCUCGGAAUCACUGGGCGUAAAGCGCACGUAGGCGGAUUGUUAAGUCAGGGGUGAAAUCCUGGAGCUCAACUCCAGAACUGCCUUUGAUACUGGCGAUCUUGAGUCCGGGAGAGGUGAGUGGAACUGCGAGUGUAGAGGUGAAAUUCGUAGAUAUUCGCAAGAACACCAGUGGCGAAGGCGGCUCACUGACCCGGUACUGACGCUGAGGUGCGAAAGCGUGGGGAGCAAACAGG
rnacentral:rRNA from 1 species